UGCAUUUCCACUGCAGACUUUAGCAGCCGUCUUUAUUGUGCUAGAUCAUGUUUAAAUGCUGAACCGUGGAUUCAGAUAUACCACAGAAAGGUUCUACUAUACAUAUCUACUCAAAAGUGAAUCUCAUCGAGUGCAAUGAUGCUUACUCCCAGGAGUCGAUGGAAAUGACAUGCUUAAAUGUCACCUCUGCAGCAGUUGGACUGGAAAGCCUAAUUUGGU